AACUUGUUUUGGCUUUAUACCUCGCCCGGACAAUCACGCGACGAAUCUUAACUGCCCGACACACAAAAAGAAUUGCGAUUUACUGAACGCAGAUUCUUUUUAGUCUUUUUCGGCACACUCGUGGAGUUCGCUCGAAGUCGUCGCGAGCUCUACGUUUGAAGCUUCAACACAGUCACUCCUUAGUAGCUCCUUGCUACAACUUCUCUUUGGCUCGCCCCUAUCUCGUCAGGGGCUUACUCACUUCACUCGCUCUCGUUCAGUAGCGGUUUCUUCAUUCUUUAGAUAGCAGCGUGAGAGCUCUGAAAUUCCAUUCAGGUCCUUAGUUCCAGUUGAAUCGCGAGCAAAGCUCGACACUGCUAGCGAAGCUCUACGACAGAGCAUUUCCAUUAUUUCAAUUAUAGAGCCAAUCACACUGCUCUCUCUCUUUCCGGCCGUAGAAUCGUCGGAGCGAGCAGAGCAGCGGAGCGAAGUGGGCUGUGUAAUCAUUGGAAUUUUUACUCUUUUUCUUUAAUAUAUAAGGGUAGGUAAGUAAGGAGCUGAAAACUAGUCCUUCGGAGGGCCCCUCAUUCUCAAUGCAAGCUAGCUCUUACUUGUGUUUAGUGAGGAGGCUACCUAAGAUAGAGGUGAAUAUAGCCCUGGUUGUGAUUUCUUCCUUGGGCAGGCCUGCCUUUAAGUGAGAGGGGGGAGUGAUAGAACACAGGGAAAGUUGUAUAAGGACGAGGCGCUUACUCUGCCAUCUCUUUCUGUCUGCUUCCAGAGGUGCUUAAAUGGUCAUUAUCUGGGUGAAGGGAUGGACUGGGGUAGGUAGGGAUUUUUGUUGCUUUCGUAGCGCUUGCUUCUAUCUAUGUAUAGUGCUCCCCAUAUCUGAAAUCAAUAACGUCGACGUGGAUUCAUGUCACUCCCUCUGGUGGGGUCCUCCCAAAAUCCCGCUAUAGGAUAAAGAGAGAGAAUCUAUUCUGUUUUCUAUAGAGAAUAGCGGCGGAGCGCCGUGAUAGAUAGGGGCAUGACUUGCUUGCUUGGCUAUUUUUUGUUCCUAACCGCUUGCUUUAUUUGAACAGGAAAGAGCUUUGCUUGCUCCGUGUUUUUGGUUCUUCGGAGCAGGGCUCUUCUGCUGUUUUUGACUUUUGUUUUAGGGUUAGUAUCUCAGGCUCUGGGCUCCUUGCGGCGCUGCCUCAUGCUUGCGCUUGCUUGAAUGCCAGUACGUUACGUUACUAGAAUAGGCGGUUGGCUGCUGCGCUACAGAUCUCACCGGAAGGGUCUUUUCCUUUGCUUGCGGAAGUGACCCUGCUUGCUAUUCCCCUCGCCCGGCCUUUACUUGACUUGAUAGGGCUCCUUCACCAGGAUCAAUAGCCCAGCUACACUACCACUACCCGUGAGAUAGAAGUAGGGCACUUCACUCACCUCAGAGUGAGUGAGGUGAUUACAGAAAAGUAGUGUAGUCCGCACUACCUAUCUGUAAUCAGUUUAGCUUAGAGUUGUUUGCUGACACACGCUACUAUCACUCUGGUUGCUGCUUUCACUCGGAUUCUCCUCGGGCGGAUCAAGGCAUAUUGGCUUGGCUUGCGACUGAUAGUUACUGGAUGGUUGGUUGACAGGUGUCUGGCUAGCAAAGAACCCGACAAAAACGAGUACAGUAGCGCCCUAGGCUAUUUGAUAUAGUAUAGCCGCGGAGACUACUUGCGUCAGGGGAAAGCCCCCUUUAUGAGUAAGCCCCUUUAGAGAUAGGAAAACGGCCUAGCUGCUUUAUUGAGAGAUUUCGGCACCAUUGAGAAUUCUUUAAAUAAUUAGCUGCUAUUUCAGUGGUUGAAGUGCCGGUCGGCAUUGCCUAAGUAACGUCCGGCUCUGCUUGCGCGCUUCUCUCCAUCCGUUGAGUCGGUGGAAGGCUACUUGACCUAGCCUUCAGAGAAGAAUCAAGUCAGAGAAGCCGGCGCAGCAAGCCGAUCCGACAUACGUUCAAACGCAUGCACCUUUCGACUACUUCUCUCUCGGGGCGCGCCAUCCAAACUCGCUGUGAUGGAUGAACGCGGAUAGAACAAAUCUAUCUCGGCGUAGUGAGUAAGAAAUUCCUGCCGUAUUUCUUUCUUGAUUGAUUGUUUUAUUGAUUGAUGUCUUUCUUUCUUUAUGGAAAAUCUCAAACCCAUUUCUGAGACCCAUAAUAUGAAUUUAUGAAAGAUAGAUAGAAAGACAAAGCUGCCUUGCGGGAGAGAGAGACCUGACGCAUAGCCGGCGCACAAGAUCCAAUCUUUUUUGCAGUUCUUAGAGAAGUGAAUUCCAAAACACCACAAUUAAGCAAGCUAAAAUAGCUUGCCUCACUUCCAUGCAUGCGAUAGCUUGUCCCAACCAAAACUUGCCGCUUCUAUCAAUCAAUGCACACAAAUAUGCUUGCUUGGACAGACACAAACAUAUGCUUGCCCCUACGUAACUAGAGCCCUGUAGGUCCAACACUCCUAUAUAGGGCUAGGUUUCAACACUAUUCACUGGUAAGGCCCCACAUGUAGCAUUCCCGACGGCGGCUAUCCCGAGCUAGCCAUCCAUAGUUGUCAGCCUCCCUUACCCCACAACCCUCACUUGUGACCCUCACUAAAAUUCAAUUCAAUGAAAGGCAGACCCCAUAGAAGUAAGCCUGAGCCAGCUCAGUGAAGACUUCUCAAAUACCCUCCAGCCAGACCACAGAAACAUAGAGAACAAAAAAUUCGUGCUCAACCAACCCGUCUCAAUCCAUGUCAACCAUCAACCAAGGCCCGCACCAGCUCUCAUUACCAUCCCACCACAACCUAGGCCAACACCAAUUCCAUCCAUGCCCCUCUUCAACCUACCCCAACACCUAUUCCCAUUACCGCGCCUCCACAGAACCCUCAGAACCACGCACCGGCCACCAUCACUAUCCCUAAACCUUCACCUAUUGUUAUCUCAACCCCACCCCUUUCUAUAAUCUAUAAGUAAGGGAAGGUAAGGCUUUCAAAGGUGUCUUGGACAUAUGAAAGCAGGACGGUAGCAUUGAAAGUGGAGAAGAAAGAGGGUGAAGAAUGUGCUGAGAUAGGAAAUAUGACUAGGUCGGGACGAUGCUUCAAACCUGACCAUUUGAGAACCACGGAAGGACCAAGGAAAGGAGAAAGCAGUAGAGAAAGACCCAGCAACAGAGGCCUUUCACAAGGCUCUCAAGAAACCAGAGUAGAAUGUGGCGGAACACCUGAAAAAGAUCCCCGCGCAGAUCUAAAUUGUUGAUCUAUUGAUAACCUCGGAACAUCACCGAGAGCAAAUGAUUGAGGUUCUGCAAAAGGCCCAUGUAAAAGACUAUAUCACUCCCGAAAGGCUGGCCGACUUGGUCGGACAAAUCAUGGCGCCUAGGGUGAUAAAAUUCUCCGAUGAUGAGAUCCCCGCCGAUAGGACAACCCACACGCACUCGCUUUCUAUUUUGGCGUCUUGUCGGGCCCAGAUAGUACCUGCAGAUUGAUAAUGGGAGUGGUUUGAAUGUUUGCACGUUGAGCAGUGUAAAGGCCCUGGGGCUGGGGCAUGGAGAUAUGAAGAGAAAGACGAUGACGGUCCGAGCAUUCGAAAAUUCCGUCCGCCAGACUUUUGGAGUAAUUUUUCUUGACGUUGUGAUCGGGCCGUACCAGUUCAAGAUCAGUUUGAAUGUGGUAGAUAUCGAGGCAUCGUGCACUUUCCUAUUGGGAAUACUUUGGCUCCAUUCAGCGGGGUCCUUCCCGAUAAGGCCCAUCUACGCUGCACCAAAGGGUAAAGUUCGUUAUCGACGACCAGCUAGUCACUAUCUUGGCUGAUGACGAAGAAGUGGGCUCAAGAAAGGUAGAAGUUGUGCAGCAUGUAGAGUCGGGACUUCAAUUCCUAUCGUAUCAGUUCGAGACAGUCAAUUGUAUCCCCCUCGACGCGAGGCCAUCCAAAAGAAUGAAGACGAGCUCGCCCGGGUGGAAAAUGCUAGCGAAGAUUCAAUUUCACCCCCUAUUUGAGUAAGGAUGGGUCUGGGUCAAGGGGACGGGUGACCUGAAACCUCUUCCUCCGGUAAGAGCUGUCUAACCUCUGUUGUGUUGCUAUAACCUAGUCUUACUCGCUCUUACCUCCCUGCCUGUUCUCCUUUCUUUCUUUUAUGAGAAUACCUGCCCUGCCGCCUCCGCUCUCGUUCGGGCCCCGGGAAUCCCUUGCUUUUGGCUACGGUCUUUAUUUACCUUUUUUUUUGCACUCCCCCCUAUCACAACAAGGCCGGAAGAAAGUUUUGAUUUCCCACGGCGUUAUUUACCAAGCUCGGGACUAGAGGAGCAUUUUAGGAAUUUGAGGUAUCGCUUGUAAUAAGGAUGAAGUCUCAUUCAUAUAGUAAUGUCCCUAGCUUGCGCCCUAUUUGAGACUAAGGCAGGUUUGGAACCCUGUCCUAUCACCUUUAUCAAAUCCCUAGCUCUCUUCCUUAGUGCAACUGUCCUAUUCCUACCAUGGGAAUAUCUAUCUUUCUUUUUUGUGUCAUAUCUAUAGUUUCGGGUAUCAAACCGGACGGUAUCAUAUAUGAAGAAAGAGAUUGUUGACCUUAGUAGACUAAUCUAUUCAUUGGUAGGGCAUUUCUUCCUGUGACCGCCUUUCCUACCAAAAAGCUAACCCAACCAAAUCCGGGUUUUUUCUAGACUAGACCUUCGGGAUUUUUUUAGGAUUCAUACAUGCAUUGAUCCAGUCGAAGAACCUGCUCCAGAGCGACUACUCCGGCUAGCGUAUCUUCCUGCCCGCCCCGGGUUCUCUCUGCUCGGUUCCACAAUCAAUCCCAGAUCCAUCCAUUUGAGGGAGGUCAAAUUCCGCGCUCUUCUAAUUGCUUAGAAGGGUUCAAGAACCCCUUUACAUCUAGGGCUCAUCGAAGCCCUAUUCUGUAUAUUCAGGAACAGGGCUAUCAAAUGGUCGACUGCGAAACCCAUCAGGGUUAAAAAAUCGUAUACUUUUACGAUGCCCUCUAUCGGCGAUCGUUCAACGGACUACUUUUGCGAUGUCUGUCACAUGAAGAAGCUCAGCAAGCCUUGCAAGAAGUACAUGCUUUACUAAUACUAAUAGGGGCAUAGUAAUAGUGGUUUGCUGGGUUGGUUUUGCUCUCUACCUUCUCACGGGGGGAUGGAAACAGGAGAGGUCAACUGGAGUGGAAGCCAAACGACGGGGCCGAGAAUCUGUGAUCGAUCCGAAGAACCACUGCCAGAUACGAUUCUGCUCCUUCUCUUAGUGAGUAUCCCGGGAAACUACUCUAAUAAAGAAAUUCUCUCUUUGGCCGGCCGGGGCUUCCUGAACUCCCAACUUCCAUUUCAGUCGAAUCUGCAUCGUAGUCGAAUAGGCGAGUAAUGAAUAUAGGGGUCACCCCGGUCUCUUGCUUGCAGGCUAACUGCCAAAUGACCGGUACCCUAAUGGAGGAGUCCAUUGUUGCUUGCGUUCGAUGGCAUGCCGUGAAUGCCCCACUAAACCAAUAAUCCCGUUUCUGCUCCUGGACUAGGAGGAAGUGUCAGUAAGAACCUCUUCUGCGCCAGGAGCCCUUUGUUUUGUUUCAAAGCGCCUAUGACCAGUAAUGACUUAAUAGAACAGUCUGUUGCUUUCCUUGUAAAGGCGAUAUUCCCUGUAUCCGCUCAAGGUUGUAAGAGGUUGUAAGCCCUGGAGAGGUUAAGCUUCUUUCUAAGCCCGAAUGCGCGUAAGCAGGGGUUUAAUUGGAAUGCUGAAUAUAACCAUCCGUUGUCCUUUUACUUCUCUUAUCUUCCCCAUAAGCCCUAGGAAGGGUGCAGGUUUUUCUAAGAGUCAUUCAAGGGAUCUACUGAAGGGCUAAGCCUUUCUACUAAUAGACUCAAGAAGUUAGCUAGGAGCUCGGGUAUCUGGUCGUUCGCUCCUUUCCGUCACUUAGUUGGUAUCCGCGGCUGAAGCUGCGGUUUGAGCAGUUGAAGUUCGAAGUGUUAGGCGCCCGGGCAAGUAGGAAACUCCGAAACAAUCCCUCCUGCCUUACCUAUUCAGUUACUAAAAGAAAGCUAAAGCCCUACGAUUAGCUAACCUAAUUGGACUUAUUAAUUAAUAAAGAGACGGUCGAAUCAGUGGAGACAAAGCAACGAGAAUGCCAUCUGAUGUCCGCCUAGGGGCCUUAUUAUCCUCAGAAUUUAUCAUCAAUCAGACCAGCUAGCAGGCCUUACGCGCUAGGCCUUCCCCCCCCAUGUUUGCAGAGACGAAAGGGAAGGUAUCCUCUAGCCUAACGCUCGCCUAGCUAAAGGAAAGAGGUGAAUAAGCAGGAUCGCCUAAGAGUGCUCCUAGCUCUUAAGGGUAGGUAGCUUCCCCUUUCCUGGAGAUUGGUCUCCCUCUCUUAGUAGGAGGUUGACUAUGUCCACAACUAAUUGUGUAAUAUAAAUAAUAGGUUGUGAGCCAAGCCGAUCCCUCGAGGUGGAAGAAUGAUUAAACCUGCCAAGUAAUAGUAAUAUAUAAUGCCAUUCCCAAUCCUCUAUCGAAGGAAGCCCCUCCGAGGGUGAAAGAGGUGGCUAACUUUCCUUGCCCCAGGGGGCUUCUUUGUUUAUGUCACUAAGUGGGCAGGUCUCUGGAGUGUGCUUCUAUCGCCCGAGCAAGAGAAGGGCUGCAGAUGAGCUAUCAAGUCGUGCAUUUCUCCCGAAAGUGUGGAGCUGGCCAUCAGUCUGGCGAGGGCUAGUCUUGCCCUGUAGAUUUGCCCCUAGACCUUUGCCUUCCUCAAAUCCUUUUGUCUUGAAAUAGGUUGCAACCAUCUUGCUGUUGCGAGAAUAGGAAGGAGGAGUAGGCUCAUCAUGGAUAGUAGUCACGUACUCAAAUGUCUGAAAACUUUAAGGUUCCACGGGAUCGAUGUUGUGGACAUUGUAGCUUUCCUCAGCAUGGAAAGUAAUCAUCUUGCCGUCGAUGAUGAACUUAACCUUCUGGUGAAGACUAGAAGGAACACCCCCAGUGGCAUGAAUCCAAGGGCGCCCUAGCAAGAAGUUGUAGGCAGAGGGGAACUGCAAAACCUGGAAUCUGAUAGAAAAGGUCAUCGGGUCAAUUUCAACUGGCAGUUCUAUCUCGCCCAUAGUUUCCCUUCGCGAUCCGUCGAAAGCUCGGACUACUACGUUGCUGUGUUGGAGAGAACCUUCACCCAUCCUCAGACUUGUCAGAGUUGAAAACGGGCAGACCCAUUGUCAAUCAGUACACGGGUGACUAUCCUUCCUUUAGUCUUGACGGCAGGAGGGCUUUGAUAUGCCCAGUUCUUUCAUCAGGGAUCUCGUCAUCAGUGAAAGAUAUGAUGUUUGGGUACAUCACUAUUGCCACCAUAUUCUGCAGAGCAUCUGGAGAAAUGUCCUUGCCUUCCCUCGUUUUGCCUUUCCGGCGCUCUCGAGCUCUUCAGGAGUGUAACAACGUCCUGAACGACGCAUCCCUCCUAUCUCGUCUACCACUGGUUCUGGGGUGACCUGAUAGGACCAGGGAACUUGGUGAGUAUCCCUGAUCGUAAGCUGAGCCAUCUUUGGAAGGAUGACUUGUUGGGGAAUAGGCAAGUCAGUCGGAGAUGGACCCGUGGAUAGGACGUCGCAUAGGCUUCUGCUGAAGGUAAGGCUGGAAGAGAGAGAAUCGGGAGCUGGGUAGAUGGCGCGUGAGUUGAAAGACACAAUAUUUGCAGAGUUACUGGGUUGGCUGGCGGAUAGACUACCGGGGUUGGCCUCUGUAGGCGAGAAGCCCUGCGGGGAUCCAUUUGAGGAAUGAACCCAGCCAUAGCCACUGUUGGCUCAUCUGCGUCAGAAUCUUUCCCUUCACCAAUCCGAGUUUUUUAAUGUUGGGGUCAUUGAGCGUCCCGUUUGACUAGGCUUGUAUGGCUGCAAUUAUGCUCCUUGCAGUUCGGUUAUCGAUCGUCGGGCGACGCCCAGGCUUGUUCUGGAUGACAAUCAUGUCUUCAAGUUUAGCGCCGGCCUUUGGUUGGGCCUUUUCUGGAGGUGUCUUUGAUUUUGUAUCAGACCCCAUCAUGCCUAUUAUGGGAGAAUCCACGCUGAGGUUUCCCAACUGGGUGGUGAGAUCCUGGCUUGUUGAGGCUUCGUUUCCGUUCCGUGGAAGCUUGAAACCAUCCUCCUCGGCGAACUCAUCGCCCCAGCCUUGGGCUUCAAUGGUGUUGCGAACAGGAUAUCCGCUGAGUGGUUCGAAAGCACCUUCUUUGCGAAAGUACCCGUUCAUGGUCAGUUAGAAGGGGAGGCCCAUAAGCUUUCCUCCGGUUCUCCAGAAGAUUUUUUAUUCUCCUGGUUCUGGGUUGUAUCCGAUUCCGAAUCGGCACCUGUUUGCUCUUGCUUCGACUGGUUCUGGAAUGCCUUGUUGUGCUCUUCCCAAACCUUUGCUGGGGUUGAACCCCAUAUCCUCCAUAUAUUUACGUAUGAGGGGACUUUCCCAGAUUUCGGAUCGGUACUCUUGAGGCCAGACUUGGUUUCCCUCCUGGUCGACAGUCACCGCUACCAAUGUGUCAGGGGGUCCUAUAAAUGGACUGGGAUCUUGGAUUAUCUGACAAGAAAUUGACUGCUCCGUGGUUCGGGAGUGGAUUGGUGUUUACAUUAGGCUGAUUAGCCGGGUUCUACAACUGCAUGGCAUUCUACUUUCGUCCUCUUUAGAGGGGAGGGGUUACAUAAAAAUGGAUAAAAGUUUCACCCACGAGAUGUUCAGCAGAGACGACCCAGGUAAGCAAAAGAUUGACGAAGGGAGGGACGUCAUAGGGAUGCUAACGGCAUUCUAAGCUCUCGAUCCAUACACGAAAGCAACUGGGUAGAAUGGUGUCCAGGGGGUAGAAGGGAGAUAGAAGACGAAGUAGGGAAGCUCCAACAGAGGGGGUAUGCUUGCCUUACAAGGUGAAAAGACAAUCGAAGGUGAAAGGCCAAUCGAAAGAGGGGCGCGGCCGGACCACACAUGUGUUGUGGAUAAGGAGGGGAUCUCCUGUGAGGACCGUGUAUAGGUUGAGAUUCCAAGGCAAAUGAAGAAGAAGAAUGAUCACAUGCCCGCUGAGGAAGACCUAGAGCAUUUCUCUCUUUGAAGGUAACACUCAUAUCCGAUAAGACGGAAAGAGUCCGCAAGCGAGUAUGUCACCUAAAUAACUUACAAUACAUAAUAAUGGCAUAUUCAUAUCCAAGUUGCCGCAUUAAUCAUCUGAAACGGCAACUUGGAAUUUGCCGGCUCCUCCGCUUGCUUUUGGACAAGUAGCGGAAUCUUGUCAAUCUGCCUCUUCCCCAGGCCGAGUCGUAUCUAUCUGAAGGCAGGACUGCCUUCCUCUCAAUUGAUCUCUGCCGCCCCCUCGACCUAUAAAUCUAUAUCUGUAUCUUUCUCAGCUGGAAGUCUUUAACCGGCCCCCCAAUUCAAGCUGUCAAUCCCAGCAAUCAAGCAAUCGAAUAAAGCCGGUCGACACCUAACUCUCUCCUUCGGAAGGCAAUCCCAGCAGUAAAGCAGUAAGUGAAUCCAUCUAUUAAACCACCGACUUAAGAAAGCGGAACCAAGCCAACGCCAGCUAUUGGUCAAUAUGGAGAUUGAUUCUAAGCCAGCAAUCCUGUCUAAGCGAGUGAGUCAUAUAAGUCUUACCAAUCGAAUCAAAGCAAUUGAGCCAAUCGGAGCCGGCACUUUGGAGCUAAAGCCUAUCGAUCCCGUUCCUCAAUCUCUCGUUCAAUCGGAGCUUCUCGUGGCUGCCUCUCAAUCUCAAUCCCUUCUCUGAAUCGUUCGUAACAAGGUAGCCGGAGCUCCGGCUGGAUUGAAUCCUUCGUUUGAUAAUUACUAUUCCUGAUUUAACAUUUGAAUCAGGAACCCAUUCUUUGGUAUGAUUUUUGGACGUUGACUAAGCAAGGAAGGAAAAGCAAGGAUUAGAUUGGAGCUUCUUUCUUUUAGGACUAAGAUUGCCUUCCUUCAUUCACUUGUAGUUGAGUAAGGCCUCCCCGCUUCGUUCUUUUCCCUAUCUAGUCUGAGAGCGAGGAGGGUGGGUGGUCGUAGAUCGCAAAGAAUAGGGCUGUCUUUCCUUUAGGUGGCCACUGAAGAGCCAACCAAGCUUCGAAUUCUCCUUGCUGAGGGCAUAACCUAUUAUAUGGAUCAAGCCUUUACUAAGGGUCCCCCUGCCCACGAGCAGUAAUUCCUAUCUAGGAUUCUCAGUUGUUCUUUUGAAGGUAAUAGAAGACGAUCAGACGAAAAAUCGUCUGCACCUAUUGUCUUCGUCUGCUUAAGAGAUUGUGGAUCGGAAGCUGCAGCCUUUUGUUUCAGACUUUCCUACAGAUUCAGCUGGAUGCCUUCCUUCCUUGUUGAGAGACAGAAAAAACGAUAGAAGAUGGAUGAAUAUUCAUUCUAUUGCCACUGUCUCUAAUGAGAAAAGCUCUUUAAGAUGCUUUCACGUCAAAUCUCUCAUUGGAAGAAGCAAAUGCGAUUUCAUGGGCCGGCCCUAGGAGCAAACAUCCGAUCAAUCAAUUACGGACACAAGGAAGUUAGCAGCGGACGUUAGAUUUACCUAUCGUCCGUUAUGUAUGAUACACUACUACCAUUCCAGAUAGGAGAGGCUAGAAGGGAUCCCGCUUUUGGAACAUUAACAAAUAGCGCGAAUCUAGAAGCGGCGGAAGCUGGAAGACCAGGCAAGGCAGGAAGCUUUUGGCCAUAUUCCUAGGGUCUUGCUUGGGGACGGACACCAUUGGUUAGAAGAUGUUCGAAACCAGGGGUUCCGGAUACCUUAUCCAUCGCACCGUCGAAGUCAACUCUUUGGUGAAAAUCCUGACAUUGAGGUAGCCCCGCCAGUUGCUAUUCUGAGUCUCUGCUCUUUCCCUAUCAGAUGCUGCAUCUUCCCUAUCUGGAUUGGGUCUUCCCCUUUGGACGGAGGAAUCCAAGUGCCCGACAGGUUGAUCUCUUAUUAAAAGGUAGGCCAUAUAAGCGCUAGGCUAAGCUGGGCUUCUUAUCUAAAGUAGGAAUUGAGUGAUCGCCCAUGUGUUAAUAAGGGCAGAGCUUCCUCGCUUUCCCUUUUUUGAUGUCUCAAAGGUUUCCUCAAAACUAACUUCUUUGGCAUUUUCUUUUGGGGGUGUAAGGGAAGAACUACGUAUUUACUUGAUCCCCUUUCAAAGGGGUACGUAGGCAGCUUGGAAAAAGACGCCAGGUUCAGUCCCAUAUCUUGGUGCUUACUCUUCCUUAAAGAUAGUUCCUUGUGCGUACUAUUACAAUACGGGUUUCCUUGCCUCACACCCUGAGAUAAGAAGGCAAGGGAAAGUAUAUGAGGGGAUACUUUUUAGCAGAGGAAGAAAGAAAUGAAGAGGAAGUAGCUGUAAUCUACCCUAGCUCGACUCCUCCCUCUAUCCCAAUCUGCCUUCCUCUCAAUCUCAAAUUGAAAGAGUUCCGUGCGAAGGGAUACUAGGUCUACUGAAUCUGGGACCGGGGGAUCCAUAUACGGAGCAGUAAUUGAAACACGUGCACCCGGAACAUGAAUAGGCCCCUGCAACUAGAUCUGGAUCUAUACCCGUGGAGCACCUGCGAAAUGCGUUGUUCGACCUGCAACUACGGCUCUGUGACGGGGCGGGAGCAGCCGGGACUGAGAGCUGGGUGGCUGCUUUUAGUUUCCACUUCUUUAUAUCCUGCUUGUUAGCAUCGCUUAGUUUACUGAGCUAGAUCGGUAGAUGGCUUAUGAUUUGGAUUGAAUUUCUCUUCUGCUGAGUCAACGUAAACUGGAUCAUUAGCAUCAUCAACUGGGUAUGAAUCCACUGAAUCUGCAACUUAUUCUCCAACUAAGUAAAUAGGGUCGGUGCUAUUGAAAUAGGUGCUACUAGUGAUGCUUUCGCCCCGUCAAAUGGAACUGGAUGAUCUCCAUCUCGCUCUGGUGCCUUUACCUUCGCUCUACUGGGCUUGACUUUCUCUGUGGUUCGGUUUCCGGUUCGCUUUCCCUUCUCUACUGUGGUAGCGGUAGCAUGGUUGCAUCUUUGCUAGUCGGACUAGCAUUCGAUGCUUCUUCUUCUUCGACACCUUCCAUCCCCAGUCUUAUUCUUAUAUGGUAGAAAUCCGUAGAGAAGCUGGCCUCUCCAUCAGGAGGCAUAGGAGUAGUUUCGGAGGCUUGCCCGGAUCUCAGCAGAUGCAGAACUCCACUGUUCUCCUGUAUGUAAGCCGAAGCGUGCUAGACAGCAUAAGUUUACUUUUUCGAUUCGGGGCUGUGAUUUCCUCUUCCAUCUAUGUGGUAGAGGGGAAGAAAUUCCCAGGCUUUAUUGAAGAGAGAAAAACUUUAAGUAAGUAGGGGUCGAUCAAUCCGUUUGCCUGCCCAUUCAUACAUCUGGAGUCUUUCCCUGGGAAGCCAAUAGGAUGGGGAUAGACCCUCUAAGGUAAGAUGACCCAACCUUUGUUGAUCGGCAAGCACCAGCGGUUGUUUCAGGCCCACCCAGACAAAGACGAGUGUGGAACAAGCAAAGAGUGGAAGACCGGAGUUCAUGUUGUGAAAGAGAAUUGGAACUUGAGCUCUUUUCUGCUCUCAGAUGCAACUCGAACUGAAUCACCAAUGCGGCGGAUAGAAAGACAAGUAAAUAUUCCAGUUUAAGCUUUGGCCGGGCCAACCCACCUAUACAGAGCUGACGCCAUGCCCACCUAACCACGAAAGCAUCCAAUAUUUCAAGAGCUGUAUGCCAGGCCGCAGAUCAAAGACUCCGCCUGGAGGGCAACCAAAGCACCUUCCUACAGUACACCUUUUGAAUUUGAUUUUCCAUAGCAUGUAAAUCUUCCUACCCGCGAAGCGAAAUUGAUUGCUUCACUUCACGUGAAAGAGGGGUUCUUAGCCAACGGGGACCGGCCGCGCAGGCUCAUUGGGCGCUGGUUCCUCAAACCGCUAGUGCACUUGAAGCGAAGCAUGCAAUUACGCCUCCCUUUCGAGUAAGCUCCAGUGUUUUGCUCUUCCAGUUCGUAAAGGAUCUUAGCCUACACCGGUUACCGACCUCGUAGGCCUUUGGGCUGGGGGAAGAGAGAGAGAGAGGGUGAAGUGGGCUCAGGCCAAAAAUGAACCAAAUGCAGGGUUACGUACGUUUUAUGGCAUGUGAUUAUGAUGAUAAUGGAGGAGUACCUGAUCUGCGUGAAACGAAAGAUUCUUCUAAACUGACUUUGCAUAGAAGAGAUGGACUUCCAAUCAAAAAGCCUUUGCUUGUGGUUGCCUCCUGGCCAUGCGCCAUCGAUUCCAGUUGGAAGCCCCUUCUUAUUCGCUCUUCAGCAACUUCUUGUGCUCUAAAACACUAGAACGACUUGCCUCAUAAGAGAAAUGACCUGCGGGAACUCAUUCCCGGGGCACUUGACCUUGGGUUUCGGACUUGAAAUCCCUAUUCUUCUUAGGCUCAACGAAGGCGCGUAGGGGAAAUCCACCAAUGGGCAUAGGUAGCCAGUGACGGAAGAGAGGACUGAGCAAGGCGAAAUGCUGUUUUUAAAUAACUUGGCAAGGAUAUCCAUGUGGGAACCCAUCGAUAUUGACCCCGUCUCCGUUCUAUCCCUAUCCCUAUUUACCAAGGGAUGAGAUGGGUUAGGAUGGGAAUAAAUUCCUUAAUCCUAGAAACAAAAGAUCUCACACGAUCCAUAUCUGGUAUAGGAGUCACCAUACUCUGAAAAGUAUCCUUAUUCACCGAUAAGAAUCUUGCAAAUCGAGAAAAAGGAAAGGUAAACACUUUACCAGUAGAUCGGACCUGGAAUCAUGCCAUCAUCCUACGAUGAAAAAACGGAAUAAUCCUAGGAUACCCCGACUGAGUUAUAGAUAUUGGUACAGCUAAUCUCAUAUGAGGGGCACCACCAUAUACAGUGCAGUCUGAAGUGACGAUGAACCUCUCCCCCAGAGAAGAUAGAGUCACCUUCCGAUGGGGGUGAGUUGGCUUUCCUGGCAGAGUGACCGAUUCCGCCUUCGCGGGAAGCGGCCUCCCUUAUCGAGAUAGCAGGGACUUGAAGGAAAGUAAGAGAAGAAAGCCACCGAUUCACUCCAAGUGGGAAAGUAGUGAGUUCUGGAUUCUCUCUGGGUGUGAAAGAUAGGUGGAAGAAAGGAGGAGAGUCAAAAGGAUCAAAGGAAAGGAGUUCCGUUCAAUGUGUUGUUGUGGUUGAGUCAAUAACAUCCUAUAAAAAAGAGCUAGGCCCAAAGGCGAUAAGAAGUAAUAAAACUUCAGCGGAGACAGGUUAAAAUAGGGGCAUUCCAAACAAAGGAAAGAAGUGCAGAUAUGAGAAGGUAGAUGCUUUUGGGUUCUAAAAAACUAAAGUAAGGUAGCGAAGUUCAAACUGCUCUUACGCAAUUAGUAGGACACGGGGGAACAACCUUAGAGUGAUUCAGUCGAUACAGAGGCUUGACUACUACGAUGGAAAGUUCUGAAAGAACAGAUUAGAUGUGAUUACCAAUCGGCUUACUCUGCCUUUGCAAAGACUGUUUAUGGAUAUGCUCCUUAUACAGGAAUUGAGGAUGUAAAGAAUAACGAUUUAAAGACCUGUCAGAUGAACCUUAAGGAAGAUCUACCGAAACCGCUUGUCUUUCUUAUACUUAUAGGUUUGGCUUCCGAAAAGGAUUCAAUCCAGGCAUUUCUAAGCGGGGUAAGAGCCCUAAUAAGGGAAGUACGAGUCACUAAUAGAUCUAGCUCCAAAAAAAGCUGGUAAGUCCAUAAAAGGGUGAAACCAAAAGCAGAAGAAAGGGGGAAUCGAAGAGGCCUAAAAUCAGCCUUUUGAAGCCCUUCUUAACGAAAGAGCACGUUUUUCUAAUUAGACUAUUAUGCUACAGCUACUGGUCCAACUCCACCAACUAGAUAAGCUAGAUCAACACCGGCUUCCACGUCUUUGGAAGUUCCCAACCUUGUACUACUAUCUCCUUAGUUUUUCUCCCUCAUUGUAGGUAUUUUGUAGCUGACCAAACCCCUUAACCAACAAGCCAAGGCUCCCGCGGCUAGGGUAGGGAAGGCCCUUUCCAAUGCCUCGAAAGGGUCUAUCGAAAGAGAAGGGCGUGCUGGUUUCGAGGAAAUGCAUUUAGAUGAGAGAAAUCGACUAGGAACACGAUGCCUAUCCGUGGACGUAGGUCCCUAGGUAGGUUUAGUUGGCGGGAGUGAUGAUGUAAAGGUAAAAAAAUAGGCGCAUCCAUGGAAGGCCGACCUUAGCGGUGUGAAGCCAUAAAGUACGAAACGAACAAGAAAACGGUCUAGCUAGCGGGGGUACUUGGGAAAGUUCAAAGCAUGGUUCAAUCCUUACCAACCACUGUUCGAACGGACAAAACUUGACCUUGUCUGUGGCCAAUGCCAAGGCUUCGUGACCCGCUAAGAAGUGGGGAUUAAUUUUGAUGCUGUGACCGACCGGGGAGUGGAAUUCUUUCUUUAUGCCCCAUAUAGCUGUGAAUUCACAGAUUGUUAGGAUGGACUUACAUCACUUACAGUCUAUGGAGGCAGCGAGGAAGUCCGUACUAGUAUGAUAUUGAAAGUAAUCGAUCACAACUUAUCAUGCACGACAGGAGCUAAGGCAAGAUCAGAAAAUAGCUUACCCGCAGCCCACUUAUCCAACCAGAUAACUGUCUGCUCACCUCACUUAAUUCACUUAAUCCUACCGUUAUGCACUUUCCAUAUAGGUUCGGAUUGGUGAAGCAAUCGGCAGAGAGCAUCUCGCCCAUGUCCCUCCAUCCGUGGUAAAGCACCUGCUCACUCGAAUCAACGAUUUCAUAAUGGAUUGCUUGUCUUGCUAUUGUCUUUCUAGCUAAUACGUCUUGGAGCACGAAAAGCUAUGUGAAGUAAAAGAUGUAUAUUCGCUUCUCUUUCUUUUCUUAUGAGAAUCUAUCAUCAGUAGAACCAUAGCACAUUUAGAUAAGCUUAUAGCAAUAUCUGCCCGUAUCGGAAUGUAGAGUGGGCUCAGACCUGAAAUCUUAAUCUUAGUUCAACUGCGCCCUGCAAUCUUUCGUCUUUCUGCGGGCGGGUCUGGCUGAGCUUUCCAUGGAUAAAUUCUUCCCCGAUAAGUCGUAGCGUGGAACCCUGUCCCCGUCUUUCUCUGCCCGCGGGUAACUAGUCUGAAGAGCAUUUACAGUCUCCGCUCUUUUCCUUGGGUCAAGGUCUCCUUUACAUCUUAGCUCCCAUAAAUAUGAAGAGCUGUGGCCGAGAAUCGUAGAAAGAUGGAGUGAGUUGGCUUCCGAGCCUAGUAGCUAGUAAAGGAAGUCCCACAUCCAAUAAAAAGAGCUACCUAAUCCAUUCCAAUCUGUCCUUGCUUUCCUUUCCUUUCUUCUUUUAUUGCUUUCUUUCUUUCGGUUUAUUAAUCUCAUCAUAUUAGUGAAGGAACCAGACUAUCAAACUUACACAGCCAGUGCGCUUGACAAGAUCACUAGUAUAAUAAAGCAUGGCUAACUCGUAUCGUUUUUCGUGGAUUAGCAUCAAAUGAAAUAAAAGAUUUGAUGGAGAUUUGUAGCAUCAAGAAGAUGAUUUCAAAUGGGCGUACAGAGAUUGCAUCUUUUUGAUGUUCAGAUGUUAUGACUUAAUCUAUGGGAUGGAAGUACGUAUCGACUUUCUAUUGUUAUUGAUAUGUCACCAUCAUAGCAAGCAUCUCUGCUCUGCUAGUCCCAGCUUCCUUGCCACCACCCGCGUCAAUGGGAGCAGUAUCCGAGCAAGCAGCAGCUAAGAUAGCAGCAAAGGCAGAGGCAGCUGCAAAUGAACCGGUUUACUUAACUACCCAGUGGAAGCAAGCAUCAUCCCGCUCAGUUCCAAAUCCCGUUUCAAAUCCAGAUGUUGACCUUGAAUCAGUCGAUUCAAUUUACUUCGUUGACCGAGCAAAGAUAGUAGCCUGGGUUGAUGAAUCUGACGGAACGGAAUGAAACUGAAGUUCGGAACGUAACUAUCAAUAAGUGGGCCCAGAAAGAUACGGCAGCAGCAUAGCUUACUUGCUUCUUUCUUCUCUUUCAGUUAGGGAGUGCUUAUAAGUAACCUAAUAGGAGGUGCAAGACGAGUGAGUUCAGGGAUUGCUCCCGUUGAAGUUUUUGCCCGAACGAACGGAACGCUCUCAACAGCAAAAGGGGGAUAACAAGCAUAACAGGAGGAUAAAACAAGUAGGCCUUGAAGUAGUAGGUUACAGGAGAGCAUUCAAUCUAUCUCUCUUUCUUUCUUUAGUCUUUCUAGUACCUUUCCUUGUUUUUAGGUCAGUUAAUAGAGCCAGUCAAGCCUGCGAGUCAAGUAUUUGACAUAGGUUGGAGCACAUCUUGGUUUGUACUUAUUUUGUAGCUUUGGGCACCUCGGGUGUGGUGACCGAGCGCUUUUAUCCCAAUGGCUACGUCCCCGCCGCUCGGUUCGUCUAAAGGCUGGAGUGAGGGGAACAUCUUCAGUGAAGCUUCCAAGUGGUAGUUAUUCGAAGAAAUGCGAACAAGACUCAAAAAUAUCCAUCUCCAUCUUCAGCUGCCUCUCAAACGUUGCUUGAAAGCUAUCUCGAAUCCCGUGGCAUCGACAACAAGGCAGAGCACAGGGGAAUUUUAUUCACUGGGACCUACGGAACAUAAGCAUUAGUCUGAUAAUUAACCCGUUCUCUAUGAACCUGACUCCUAUGAUCUUAGAGCCUUCGCUUCCCCUCCCAUCGCCCAUGCAGAGACGAAAGGGAAUCGGUCAGGCCUAGCGCUUAAGGCUUGACGCUCCUCUCCUGUUGAUUUGUUUUCUCGUUUCGUUUGACUUUCAACUAUGCAAAUAAAUAGGCGGGGCUUAUCAUUGCGUUAAACUUCCUUGAAAGGAAAUAGGCUUCUUCGUACCGUACGCGACCUUUGGAUCAAUGUCCCAUCCACCGCCCUUGUUCUCGAUUGCUGCCCCAGGAGGGAACUCUGGAGCAACGUUUGACCGCGCUCGGCCUUGUCCACCCUUUCCGCUAAGUAUCCCGCUCUUCCCUUGAGUAGACAAGACAAACCAGGUAGCCAUUCCCUCAUGAUGGAAUGUCCCAUACCAUCCCAAGUCGUAAGCGACAACAUGCCCAAUCUGGCAUAGCCAACUCGUUUGCUUCUACCAAGCCCACAAGCUUGAGUCUUCAACCAAGACUCGUUGUUCACUUGCCUUGCCAAUUGCAUCACCAACUGGUCAAGUGCUCAGCCUGUCAAGGGCUCUACCAGAAGCGAAAGUUUCAACCGAAAAUGGCUUAUCAAACUCAGGCAACUUCAGCACCGGCUCAAUCAGCAUCGCCAUCUUCCGUCAAAAGCCUUUUGACAAGCUUCAGACUAGUUCUAACCCCGAUCCUUCUUCAGCGGAUCUGUCAAAGCCUUGCCUCCUGCCGAAUCAUCAGAGACAUGGAAUCACAUUACGAAUGAAAAGGUUGGGUUGUCGAGGGGUGAUGAGUGGAGCUCCCAGACAGCGGCAGAGCGACAAUGCAAGGAGGUAGGUGCCUAAAUGAAGCUUCUUCCUUUAUUUUAGAAGGCUGUAAGUGAAGGAAGCAAGAGCUGCGGAAGAAGAUCAGUGCGAGGUAGAGCGGAGGAAAUGAAAAGCGCCAAUCCUCGGAUACGAAACCACCUAUUCUCAUCUCCCAUCCCAAUGCCAAACAGAAGGCACGAUCGGGGGUGUGGAAUGCAGGACCAAUCAUACGUCCCAUGCCCAGCAGAUGGAGUUCACGACUAUCGCAGGUCCAGGUCUUUAUCGAGCGAAGAGAGUACAUCGGCUACAAGCCCCUCUAAUGCAGCGUCCCGGGCAUAUCGAUGGGAAUAAGAGCUGCCGGUAUUCGACGAAGGGGAAGCAAGUGAGUCUUUUACACAAGCAUUUCGGUACUCAGAUAUGAUGCUGCUCCUUCUAAUGCUCCGCUAUCCAGGGAACAAGAAGCGGAACUUGCUCAUCCCACACCACAAGAGUGGCAAAGGGCUCUCUCUCUCCCUUCCCAAUCAAGACGGGGGGGGACACAGAGUUCCAAGAAUUUAUGGAAAAUUUAUCCCCUCUCCUGCAGGAGGAUCUUUUUUCGUCCUUUUCGCCUGGGAAGGAUGAAGCCCCAAUCCCGUUUCAGGAGCAGGCGGAGGAGGAGACGACUGCAUCUCAUGCCAAUCCGGCUCAGGAUCAGGAGGAUCGUGCAGCAUUUGAUACACGGAUUAAGGGGAAAAUCGACGCGGCCAUUGAAAGAAGUUUUAAAGCGUACUGUAAUAGGCCCAGCGUUGCCAAACGCUUCCCCAAAAUCCAUUGUCCAAGUUUGGAUUUUUCGGCUUUGGCCAAGCACCUGUCCCAGGACGAACUUGAACUUGACUUUCAGUCAAGGGAGCAAUUACUGGAUCUUUUCAAGUUCGUCCAAAACACUAAUAAUAUAAAAUCGCUUUUUGAUAAUAUCUUAAAAGGUCUUUCUAAUAAACCCUAAGGGCAUUGAAGUGAGAUAGGGCAGAUUGUACCUGGGACGCGUAACACAGGCUAAUCGAUGAAAUGAUAGAGAACUACGGGUGACUUGAUCCUGUCCAAGCUAGGAAGGUACGUAGGCAAGCUCGACAAGAGCCCCAGUCUAUAUGCUUAUCUUACAUAGGAAACGAGAAAGCAGAAAAGAAGCAAGGAAACCGGAACAAAAGUAGAAAGUAAGAAAGUGAAAAGUGUGUGUGUUCUCUUAAAAAAGCCUAAUUCGUUUUCCAUAUUUUUCUUAUAUUAGUUGUCCUAAACUAUGUGGUGUCCUUUCUUGUACUAUUCUAAUCUUUUUUUUAGAAAGAAGUGAAUAGCACUAGAGGAGGAAGCUUAGGCUCUGGAAGAGUAAUCCAUGUUGAGCUCACCUGCUCCGGAACCUGCGGUUAUUCCAUCUCCUACACGUACUGACUGCUCUUGCUCCGAUUGCAUUCCUUUUGCUUGGUCCUUUUGUUCCUAGCUGACAAGGGGGGCGAUGGGAGAGUGACAAAAGACCUAUUUCGGGCCUUCCUGCUGGGAGGUGAGAUUUCCAUAGUGGCUUGCUCUUCAACAUAAGGUUUCUCAUACGACGGACGAGAAGGCUCUUAAACCCACUCCUAAGCCAAGACGAUUAUUCCUUCGUGGAUGACUUCUUCCGAUUGCUCGCUUCAAAAAGAAAUAGAACGGAUUGAAACGAAGCUAUAAAAGAGAUAUACAAAUAGAUAGUACAUUUCUAUCUUUGCUUUCAUUUGCAAGCAAGCGAAGCCAUCCGUCUUUUUUAGCGAAGCGUCAAGCGAACUGUCUUUCCGCUUUCAGCUUUCCACUCAAGUCAUUCAUGUAAUUUCUGGUGUUUGAGUUUGAUUCUUUUUUAUUUAAAAACAAGAAAUUUCUUCUUCUUCCCUAGGGAGUUACUCUAGUGAUUUAAAAAGGGGGGUUUUGUUUGGCAGCUAGCAGUAGCAGUGACUGUUUGAGGUAGCGCAGCUACCGCCCGUGGCAGGGAGUUGAAAGGCUUAGCAGCAAUAGCAGCCAGCCAUUCCCCUUCCUAAAGCAUCACUUCAGCGGUAGCUUCCCCCUGACCUUCUACUCCGUACUAUGAGAUGGAGGAAGGCAAGACUUUGUAAAUGCAAAGCACUAUCCAGUCCAAAUCUCCUUUCCCAACUGCUACUCGAAUACCGACUGCUAAGCGUUAGCGGACGUUUUUCAUUCUUCACCCGCGAAUAUGUAUGCUACCAGUUGAUCGGAAUUUGAUGUGCGCCCGAAGGGCUAUCUGAUCCGAUCAACUUCGAAAGCCGUAGCGCGCUAGCGCGCGUACUCUUCCUCUAUCUAUGAGCGAGACUCUAUCCAUCGAUCCGGGCAGGAGACAUCACCCGUCCUUUACUGCAUGGGGCGACAUAGGAAACACACUUAGAGACAGCUAUUCCGCUACCGACAGGGCUAGCACCUUUAUGCCCAUACCUUCCUUUCGCUUCCUGCCGAAAGAAUAUACUCUGGGGCAGCAGUCGCCCUAACGAAAGAAUGAGGAGAGUGCUUCCGAAACGAGAGAAAGACUUGAGAAAUCCCUUCCGUUACCGAUAGUGAGAUAGCUAGCAUACCCUACACCCACAUUAUAGUAAGAUACUUUAUCUUCUGGCCUUGCCUUCUUCCGGAACGGGUAGAUACUUUCUCUGGGACAGAGGUGGCGCCAAUGCCUACAGCUAGCACCUGAGAUUCUCAUAUCUUUUUUCAAUUGAAAGCUGACAGUAGGGCUUCCCCUAUGCAAUUAACAGAAAGGUCAGUUCCGCUAAGGGGUUAUUGCUUGAUCUAGCAUCUUUAGAUUAUUUAGCUAUUAGCUAUACUCAGCACCUUAUAUUAUUAUAUAUGUUUAUUUUAUGCUCAUCAAUGGGAAAUUACCGAAAAAGUAAUAUGCUUAAACGUCCAUUUUGGUGAACAUCAGAUUGAGAACCCGAACUCAUUCCCAGGAAAAUCAUUAACGGGGAUAUCGGGAAAAGAGAUCCAAACAGAGGCUUCCUCCUCUAAAUCUAAAGAAAAAGAGGAGAGCCAUAAGCUACUUAGCAACCAACAGACCAACCCAGGGCCAAACUGCCGCUAUCUACCUUUGGGCCGGCCAUCUCACCUAUAUCCAUUCCUGUCGUUCCAUUUGGAUCUAUCGAUGCCUAUCCAAAAGCGGGUUGUUCCAGAGCGAAUAGGAAGGCUUAGAAGGCCUUAAAAGGGAUAGUUUGCUGUUUCAGAGCCGACAACGAUGCCAUAAAAAAGAACUGUUGGGGCAUUUGGUACGAUUUUGUGAGACUGCUUCUGGUGCUGCAAUCGAAGCUAACGAAGACAUGCCUUCUGACUAUGGAGAAGGAAACACACUAUGGGACUGCAGUUGCGCCAAUGCUUGGCGGGAACCAAUAGCAAAAAGACCUUCCUUCCCUUUCGAAAGAAAAAGAAAGGAAAGACUGACUUUGAAACCGGGAAGGCCUUUCCCCUAUCGAAGAAACUAACUUGGAGACUCCAGUCCCGUAACGACAGAUGGAAACAUUGGAGAAGACCUUUCCCCUACAGCGAAUGGGCUAGCACCUGCGAAUGAGCUAGAACCAGGGAUUACCUUUUCAGAGAUGACCUUCUACGCCUACCUCAACCUCUUGCUGUAGUGCCUGUAGUAAAGUUCCUGUGGUGCCUGUAACGAAGGAAAGACUAUUCCAAAAGUGAGCCUUACUAGGGCUAAGCUAGUACCAUAGAUUAUUAGAUAUACUCAAUAGCUGAUUGCGAGGCUUUUUUCGAACAACAGAACGGAUUGAAAGGCUUUCCUGUCUUGAAACGAUGAGAGACCAUUCUACUGCCAACGGUGGAGGAAAAACAAUUCUUGCUGGAAAGGGUGGAAGUUCUCGCUGGCUAGCGUCAUAGAAUACUGCCCGUGAAGGGGGCUGGAAGGAGAUAGUUCCUAGUGACAACAGCUGAUAACCGAACAGCGGAUAAACAAGAAAAUAGCAGCUGUGACUACCGGUUGUUAUCCCGAUCUAAAGUAGCAGCCUAUCUAAAAACAGCUGAUACCCAAUAACCGAAAAACAAGAAAAUAACGGUUAUAUCUAUUAUCGGUUGGAUUGGUUGUUGGUUCAUGCUUCCGAAUAAAGUCAUCUUUGGUAUGGACCCUGGGUUGGUAUUGAUGGGAGGAUGGAAAGCUUAUUGGAGGCCCCAGAAACAACUGGUGGGACUAAGCUUUCUAUUUGAGGUUCGGCUAGCUUAGCUAUUAGGUUCGGUUGGUUUAGCUAUUUUUCUCGGCAUUCCGCUUCCCUUCUUCGAGUCCGAUGGGCUGACUUGGUCAUAGCUACCCCUCCCUCCUUGAAGUGGGCGCUUCGCGUCCUUUCAAGCAAACCCAUACAAUCUUAUUAAAAUCAUCAUUUUGUCGUAUUCACUCUUUAAUAUCCACCCCUCCUUUUGAUGGUUCAUGAAGGCACACAUGGGCGAUCGACUUCGUAAGGUUCAUGCCUAUUCAUGCAAUCCAAGGAUUCAGCUCCAACGGCUUGGGAAUGAGACCAAUUCCUUUCGGCAAGACCCCUAUUUACCCAUUUCUUUCAACAGCAGAGGAGAAAGCUUCUAUACAGAUGAAAGGGCUAGGACGGAUACUGCUAUCGAUGGAGGAGAAAGCUUCGUGCAACUUUCUAAAACCCCGUCUUCUCUUUUUGUCCAAAAUGGCAUUUAUUUCCUUUACUAAUUCCGGAGAAGCAUCCCACAGCGCUUAUUCACCAAAAGCAAGAGGAAAGAUCCAAGCAGCGGAUAGGACCACAGCUGAGAUUUACUCAACACCCGAAACGUGAACAGUAAGAAAGCAUACUCCCACACCGGUAACACCAACAGCGGCAUUUGAACGAGUGGAAGCCCCUUCUCUAGCAUCAAUUCCUUGCUUUACUCCGUCCUCCAAGAGCGGAAAUGCCGACAUCUAUCCCAUAUGUCACUUAGUUCAGUGGUAGCAUGAAUAGAGUGAGCGCUCAUAUCGAGAGCGUGAAAAAAGAAGUCUCACUAUUCGCAGAGGCCAUCCUCUUCUAUUAUUGGAUUAAAAGCAUCAACAGGCGCCAAACCAGGGCUAGUGAGGAUAUCGAUUCUAAGGCCAUGUUCACUAAGACAAAAGUACCCCCCACUUUGUUGGCCACUUUACUAUUACAUAGAGUGAAUCAACCCUUCAUUCUUAUAUCUCUUUCCUUUAUAACUAUGCUUAUGAAUCUAAUCUUAUCUUAUUAGUCUGUUUUUAGUGGGUUAAAUACCGACUGACCGAUUGAAGGAGUUGGCCUACUAAGGUACCAUUCUCGCAACUUCCACUCUUAUACUCCAAGCUUCAAUAAGAAAGAUGCUGCACCCUCUCUCGCCGAAAGGGAGAGGUAGCAAAGAAAGGCCCUAGCUCUAAGCUUCCUUCUAUAAACGUUAUCCCCCAGGUAAACAAGAAAGGCUCUAAAUCUAAGCAGCCAUGGUGCCGACAAGGCUUGAACUCAUCAAACUACAAGGUCCCUGGGAAUAAGACUCAAACUCGAUUUGGGCGAAGAGUUCCCUCCUUCCUACGCUAAGAAUGCUUGGCCUCCUUCUCUAGGAGGAUUCCUUCCUUUCCUCUUUUCGAUUCAUGUAUCACGGAUUCAGAAUCCGUAGAAAGAGUACAGGCAAACCCGGAGCGAAAGAAAGGAGGUUCCGGCAGCAGACGGGGAACCCGCAAGAAGGAUAUCAAUCAUUCGAUGGGAGCGAAAGAUAGGUCAGAUCCAGGAAAUGCUUUUGUUGAACUAAUUUCUUGAACUAAAGCCUUAGUGCCAAGGGACUUUCAUCAAGGGUUCUGGGAACGCCCCUAUCUAUAGGGAUAGCUCCCGACAUCAAUAUCUAUGGAUUAAAGCAACUCCCUCUCGUAGUUGAUCCCUUGUUCACAGCUUUACUCGGCUCAUGCACUCGGCCCGUAUGUAAGAGACGGGGACUCCUACUUCCUUGUUAGCAACUUAUCCGCUCGGGUCAAAGCCCUUCUCUUCUUAGUCUGGUGCUUCCUUCAUCGAAUGAGUAUUCAUCCGUUGAGCUAUCCCUUUCUUAAUGUGAAAGCUACGUAAAGAAAGAAGGUGAGAUGGGCCUCGUCUUGUUCUAUGCCGAUGGUUCCCUGGAAGGGGGAGUCUAACUCGCCUUCUAUCUCGAUGCUGAAAUACCUUGAAAGAAAUGAAUUACUUCAUCGAGAGCUACGUGAGAUGCCGGACCAAUAUAUGUGGAUUAGAGCAGCUUCAUUAACUGAUAAGAGAUCCCUUUUGACAGAAGAAUGAAGCUCACGCAACAAAUGCCUAGGAUCAGGAUGUGAACGAUAGGGAUCGUCAUUCUAUCCUUGAAUGAGCCUUUGCUAGCCAACGAGAGCGGAAGAAAGAGCAUUUGCCUUUCUUUCCAGGCAUUGAUUUCGAAGAACAUCUUAGAGUAAGUUUUUGGUGCCCGAUCUUGAUCGACUACUUUGUCUCGAAGAAAUACGGGUGACUUUCUCAAAAGCUCUUACCGCUCCGUGGGCCUAGGCUACACGGAAGAGCAUACGAUUUACAGCUUUUAGCUGCAUUUUCUCCUCUCAGUUGCACGAAAUCCCAGGAACGUAGAUACCGAAAUCCCUAGGAUCAGUCUUUUCAAGUGCAGAAGCUGCUCGCCUAUCAAAGGUGUGGAACGAAGUAGCUCGAGCAUAGCGAGAGGACGUUCUAGUCCUUGUUCCGGCUGAGGAUAGUGCUUCCUAGCCUAGGGGAGGGGUAGCGAGAAGGUACUACUUCAUAUAAGAGUUAUUGAUCGGAGCUAGGGGAACUGCAAAAGAAUAGCAUGCGCUCGAACAACUACCGCUGUGUAAAGAUCAACUCCUGCUGCUAUGAGUCUCGUCUUCGUGGAGUUCCCGGAUGAUAAGGAAGAAAGAUGGCUUGGAUUUACAGAUAGGGGCUUUCUCCAGCCUACCCAUGUGUAAAGAAAAGCGGCUGUUGGUUCUUCUUCCUAGUCUGAUUCCUACUAGUGCAGGGCCCACGGGGCAAAGUCGUUAGACACAGAGAUCUAUCCUACAUAUAAGGAGUCACCGAUUCUGUUAGGUUUAGUUCCCGAGUAAGAGUCUCUUUCGUAUCCGCUGAUGAUAUUGGGUUCCCAGGUUCCUGGUUGCGGUUUCGGGUCUUAUAGUGCAACGCUAUGAAGAGAGUUGCCGGACUAUGAGUCAAGACACAAGGCAAGGGUAAGGUUAUCGCGAGUUUACUUACUUUACGAAGGGAUUUUAACACGCAUUGCCGUCGCACUAGAAGCAGGAACCUCCUUCAAUGGAAAGCGAAGCAUCCUUUAUUUCAUAUGCUAGUUAUCUCUGUGAAGAAACUUCUCGCUGUCCCUGAUGCACCUAAAGAUCGAACUAUACCACUAGGGAGCGAAACCUCGAUACCUCGACGAUAUCUUGAGAUGAUGCAAGCGAAUCUACUUAAAUUUAAAUUUAAAGGGUUUGCUCUCUUAGUUCUUGUUGGAAGUAGGAGGAGGAGAAAGACUGACUCUCAGCGCUAGCUAACUGCCACUCAGCCAUUCCCUUCUGUACUUCUAUUCUAUAGAUAUCACUUGAGAAAUAGAAAGAGGGGCUUAGUAGUUAUAUCUGCAUAUAAAGCGUGGAGGAGAUACAGGAAGAGAGGACAGCCUAGCUACUAGGAAGAACAGCAGCAAACUAAUAAAGUAGCUCCUCGUAUUAAGGAGCUACUUUCCCGAUUCCCGCCAUUCAAUCUCCCUCUCUACGCCCAGGCUGAUGCGGAGCAUCAGGGCGGACUGACUCAAAGAAAGGAUUACGAAAGCACGGGGCUUGGCCUGCCAUUAAUAAGGAAUGCCCGGGGCAAUCUACUGAAUUGAGCGUUUCACCCCAUGCCAGAAAUCGGCCAGAACAUGACUCCACUACACCUAACAAGUCUUUGGCCCCCGGGUACUGAAGUGGAAUGUAGUGUAGGCAGCUGCCCUAAGCUAAGAUAAUCAUUCUACACCUAUAAAGUUUGCAGGUGCUUGUAGUGCUUCAAACCGAAGAAUUUUGCUUUAUUGGUCUUCCCUUAUGACUCAUUGCAUUCAACAUAAUAUGUUGAUGAUGGAAGGUGGAGUUUCCAUUUGACCACCUUUAUGACUUCGCACUACAACCGUGGGUCUACACCCACUAUCACAAGCAAUCGUGGACACGCUCCUCAUGGGCACACUCCUAUUGACACAAAAGAUAGAAGUGAAACUCCCACUAUCACCGAGAACAAAAGUGAUACAUCUGUCAUCAAUUGGAGCGGUACUCCCACUUUCUGAGAGAAUACUAUAGCUCUACCAUCUCCUGAACCAAAGCCUAACUUAGAAACAGAUCCUCAAUAAAGGUAAUACAAUCUGAGCACCAAGACAGAUUAAGAUAAAAUACUCCGAAAAAAGGUAUUAAAAGCAAUUCUUGGCGCAAGAACAGGAUCUUUUUUUUUUUUUUUCAGUACUGGGAGAGGCACGAGCUAAUCCAUCUUCUUUUACUGGAUGGAGGGAAGGCUGGUGGGGACUAGAAUCGGUAAGAGGUCAAACUAGAGUAGAGGUAUGACUAGAAGUAGGAGCGACUUCCCCCUGUUGAAAAGAGGUUACCAGUUGAGAGAGUAGCUGGUGUUGCUUACUCUGCAGGAUAUGAUAACGAGAUAGUAGCUGUUCUUGCUUGCUCCUAAAGGACGAAUAAGCUUGACUUGCUUUCUUGCUUGGAUUGCUACCAAAGCUUCCCCAUAUUAUAGGGAUGAUUACCACUGACAUUUGACAUUGUCUUCACUUCAUUCUUUGACUGCUGGAGGCUUGAGGCAGAGCUUUCUCUUUCCCUAGCUCCAGAACUAGUUGUGAACUUUAGCAGGUACUAGAACUAGAACGCUGUAAACUCAGACUGUCACUCUCACUGGCACUGGCUGGGACUUGCCCGUUCCCUUUUUCCGUUGCUUCUCGCGGAGAAUGGGCACAAAAAGAUUAGGUUCCGUGGUUCGAACAAUUUCCCUGGAUUCCUUUUCCUAUGCUCAUUAGUGCGAGCCCUGGCCAAUACUCAAUCCUAACGAGUCAGGUUCUAAUCUAAAGGCGAAAAGGCGGUUUUUCCCGAUCUUGCUGGGGAAGAGGUUGGGGAGCCCCAGAGUCUUCCUCCAACUCAGCUUUCAAGGAAUCAAAUGGUCCCCCCCAAACCCCCACUAACAAACUAACCUUCGGAAUCCUAUGUUCAAGUCAACAAUCGAAAUUACAACAAAAAAGCAUCAAAUAAAAAUAGCGUAGAUAAUCACAGAAAGUUUUGGGUGGUGCAUUGGCCCAGGUCAGGAGCAGAAGCAGGAUUCAGGAUGGUAUGCCCAAAACCAAAAAGGCUUAUUUCCAGCAGACGCAGGUACUAUGCUGCCGGAGCCGACGGACCCUUCGGCCGGAUCCUGAUGCUUCCAAUGUGAACUCCGAAAUGGGAUACGGAUUGUCAGAGUAACUACCCAUAGGCCUUAUCCUAUAUCUCUGACUAGGUGUGGCCUUCCAAGAUGCAUUCCUUCGUUUCAUCGCGCCCUCAUUAGAAGGAGAGAUGAGAAAGCGGAUAAACUCGUAAGAUUUUAUCUGUCUGUGUUUUCGUUGUCGAAACUGAUAUUAGUAAAGAAGAAAAAAAAUUCUCAGUUUCGCUCGAUUACACAAGAGCUUAACGCUUCUUUCGACUCUCUUCUUGAAGAGUUGAGAACGAAGAUUGUGUCACUUAUCAGUAGAUAUGUACCUUCAUUCCAGUCGGUUCCUCUAUCGACUGGUUUGAAAUGGUUUCCGAUUUGGACUGCUUCAUCAGUCCCCUAUCGUUAUGUGCCGGGUGAGAAAUCACCGUUCCAUAGGAUGAUCUGGGACUUAUUCUCGGUUGCGCUAUAGGAUAAGGCAAGGCCUCGCUUUUGGGAUUUUGGUCUGAUGAGGAGGCUUCGUUUAUCCGAACGUGGCCCUUUUUCUACUGAUAUGUUAGAAUGGUCCUAGCAAUACAUUGUUCCAGUAUUUAGCUAUUUCUUUCCUUCCAGAGAGAUUUACCCUCUUUCUGAGUAAGACGCUUCUUACCCGUAUUCAGUAAAUCAAUUACUACAUAAUACUGAAUCUAGGUUCGCUUCAUCAGCGGCGUUUCAUACUGGUCUGCUGACUUAUAGUUAGUUGUUUUGUAUGUCAGCAUUCCGUAUGAGACCUCCAGAUGACUAUCUACUGACAAUGUAUUCGACUGGUCGCCUGGGUUUUAAGGAAUAAGGUGCUGGGAAGGUGCGAGUAUUCGCUAUUCCUAACGCCUUAAAUGAAAGCGGGCACUACUUCGUCCCGCGCAUGAUUGGUGUAUGUCGAUCUUAAGGAAAAUCCCACAAGAUGGAACUUUCGAUCAACCGGCACCUCUGCGCUGGUUGAAGGGUUGCAUGAAGGUAAGAUCUUAUGAUUUAUCUUCUGCAACUGACCGCUUUCCUCUUAUCUUAAGUUCCAGAGGACAGUGAUCGAGUGUUUGUUUAACAAGGUAGUCGCCCAUGCUUGGGUUGAGUCCGGAUUACAAGUAAAAUAGAUUUCGGGCUCCUAACUCAGCAGAAGGCUACUUUAAGUUUAUCCGUUUUACAACGGGUCAACCCUUGGGCUUCCUAUCAUCCUGGCCGUUAUUCUCAUUGUGUCACCACAUUCUUGUGUGGCUCAGUGCGGAUGCGGUCUACCCUGGCAGAAGAUUUGUCAAAUACUAGCUUCUCGGUGAUGAUUUUGUCAUCGGGGAUGCGCGAGUAGCUGACGAGUAUAUCAAUCGGUUCUGGCUAGGGCUUUCAUUACCUAAAUCCUUAGUGUCUGAUACGGGUUAUUUCGAGUUCGCGAAUAAAUUCCGCGGACCUGGAAAGGAUCUAUCACCUAUCUCUGUUAAAAUGAUUAGAUCCGCCCGUUUUCCGGUUGCGCUUAUGCCAGUGCUUAAGCAAAUAGGGGUAACGGAUAUUCAGAGUGUUCUCUGCGUUUGCGGGGGGCCGGAUAUCGAAGGUAUUCUAUGAAGCCUUCAGAUGUUAACCCGAAUUAUAAUCGGCAUUGGUUUAGGCACAUACUUGUUGCCUACUCCCCAAGUGGUAUCUGUCCGAUGCCCUUUUCUGUUUGGUUGGGAUUCCCAGAGGGCUUGCUGGUGAAUUGCUAUCAAUAGGGAUGGUGCGUUGGAUGCUCGUUGAGAGUUGUCGCCCUAAUUGGGGUUACGUUGAAAGAUUAAUGGAUGAUCUUUCACGUAGACUCGACGACGACGCUUUGCUGCUGACUGAACAGCUUGAGCUCCGUUGGUGGGUUCACUCUUUAGUUAAGUAUUGCAAAUGGUACUACGAGGCGAGUGUUGAUUAUACUCGACCGAUCGAGGUGUUCUUAGCCCCUCCUGCCGCUUGUUUUCAUCCCGAAAGAAAAGACCAGUUAAUGAAGUUUAAUAAGUAUGGUCUCAUAUUUCGGUGUUAUGAUCUCAUAAGGCAGCGGUCUGCGCCACUUCCGCUUCCAGAAUUUCGAAGUCGGAAUGUAGAUGUGGUAUAAUAUAUAUAUAUAUAUAUCUUUGGUUAAGAUCUUACUGGGUAAGAUAAAACAGUCCAAGUAAAACGUUUGUCGGUGGCAACAUCGGCAUGCGUUAUAUAAGACUUUAAGCGCACCUGAACUACCCAUAGUCUAUCUAGUUACGGGGUUGCACUCAAUAGUCAAUCAAUUCGUAGUCCCAGUUCGGGGGCGUAGCCCAGAACACGAGAGGGGUAAACAAAAAAUACAAAAGCUUUCUCGUUAUAUUUAUUUAUAUAGUUAUAGAACUAUAACUAAGAGAAAGCGUCCGUUCACGGAGGUUGUUUGUUGUAGUUUUCUUUUUUUUCAUCGAGUGGUGUUCAGUCUACCGAAUUUAUUAGUACAAGAUCGAAAGCUUUGCAUUCCAAGUGAGAUGCCCAAGAGAAAAGGAAGGAGGGGAAGAAUCGACGAGGAAUCUAUAACAUAAAAUAGUGAAUGAAAAAGCGUGACGAGAAUUCUCAACUCGAGAUGUUAGAAGGUGCAAAAUCAAUGGGUGCCGGAGCUGCUACAAUUGCUUCAGCGGGAGCUGCUGUCGGUAUUGGAAACGUCCUUAGUUCCUCGAUUCAUUCCGUGGCGCGAAAUCCAUCAUUGGCUAAACAAUCAUUUGGUUAUGCCAUUUUGGGCUUUGCUCUAACCGAAGCUAUUGCAUCGUUUGCCCCAAUGAUGGCCUUUUUGAUCUCAUCCGUAUUCCGAUCGAAGAAAGAAGAUUUAAUAAAGCAAGCACCUCUUUUUUUCCAGCCUUACUCAAACUCAAAUAGGGGGUGGGGCGCAGUUCUUAAACAGAAGAAUGGCGAGAAAGAGGAAGUGAUUCAAAUUCAAGAAAAAAGAGUAGAAUUGGAAGUCAAGUAAGAAGGAAGGAGGCUAGUCCCCGAAAAUGCCCUUCUUAUAUUAUAGCAUGGAUUUCUUUGUCGUUGGGGUUUUCUUUUUCUUUUUCACUUUCUUUCCGCCCGAUUGAAACUUACCUUUGACUGCUUCUAUUCCCCUAUUUAACUGCUUUCCCUAUUUGCUUACGGAUUUGCUUAACGAAUACUUCCCUCAGGCUGGUUAUUCCUUGCUUGACAAAGAGAAGGAAAAGUACUUUCAGAUAAGAGUUUACUAGAUAGCACUGGAAGGGAAUCGCUAUCGUAUCUCUAAAAGGAAGGACGGGAUUCCAUCGAACGGAAAGCCUUCUUACGCCUUAUUAGCGAGAGUUUUGACUGGCAGUAGUACCUACACCAACCAGAGGAGCGCUUUAACAGGACUUAUGCUUCCCAUAGACCGAAGCCCUCACCCGGAACAGGAACUAGGACCUUCGAAGGGGAACUACUGACCCACCUACAUCCCCUCCCUAACGCCGCGAAUAACCAGGAUUUAUCUUAUUGCCAUCCACAGAGCCCGGACUAGGAACAUCUAUGGCACCGGAACCGGAUGCAGCGGCAUCUGAACCAGGAACCAGUGAUUCAGAAGCUAGCCUUUCACCCUAUCCAAUGACCCCGGAGAAGAACCAAACAUCUCAUUCUCAAGUUCCUCUGCUGGCCCACCUCCUUUUCUUUCUCUUCCAUCCGCUCCGCCGCCAGGCAGCAUUCAAAGUCCAAUAAACCAAUUCCUUAGAAGUCAUUCGAUUUGAAAAUCAUAACAAGACCAGGACGAAGUCAUGUGGCAGCUUAUCAUCUUUCCCGACUACAAAAUGGGGAAGCUCAAAAGGGGGAGGAUGCGGAGUUACCAGACGCUAACCUUUUUGCAGUACGACAGCCUCCGCCGGAGACUUUGACAACUAAAUAAAGAGAAAACUCAAAAAUUCUCCCAUUUGAUAUUCUAUUUUUUCUUAAGACUGGGCUUCCCCAGAGCGCUCCGCCCGGUACAAUAAGAUUAGAAGGAAGGAUUUGGUCCGUAAGGCAGCCAAUUCUCAGUGAAUGUUUGAUAUCCAGCAAGAUACGGAACAAGCAACGGAAGGCCCCUCAAAGAGUAAGGCGCGCUCCUUGUAUAGUAAUGGCUCCGGCUUGCCUUCGACCAAGGAAAGAAAGUCACACCUGUCUCCCUAUCCCUCAAGGGGAAGCAAGUAUGCUGCUAAGCCGCUCACUGGCAGCAUGAAAUGAAUCCAUGUCUCUUCGUUCAGAGCCUUCAACCGGCGAGUAAGAGCCGGGUCUUCUCUUUGUCUCUCACCCGAUCCAGUGGAAUCCUAUUCCUUUUCUGUUUCUCCUGGGCAGCAUCUAACAGGAACUACCUUCCUAGCUCUCCCGGUCCUUCGACUUCGCCAGGCAAUCUAGGUAUUCAACUCCUAGUGACCAACCAAAGGCCAUUCGCAGAACAUCUAUUGCACUCGAAUCCGAGCCUCUAGCUGGUGACCCCAUAGCUAGCUGCCUGCAUAAAGACCUAGUCGCCAGUACCAGGAUAUCUCUCCUCUGGAUGAUGGCGUUCCUUUUCUUCCAAAGCCCGGCCAUCUCUUUCCCAAUCAAGUUCAUCCGAACCCGAUCAAAAGGAAUGAAGUGAGCUGGCUCCGUUCCCCUCUCAUCCGCUCCCCAUCUCGUUCCCAUUCAUCCGACCCAUCAGAAGCGGAGGAAGUCCCAGCUGAGCGAAUUCCCAUGUCUAUUCGUUCCCCGUCUCGUUCAAAACCAGGGAGUUCAGGCCCUGGGAUCCGGAUUCAAGCGUUCUAGGCCCAACCGACCAUCGAGUAGAUCCAAAGGCAGCCAUAUCGUUGAUUGAAAUCUCUUCGUUCAAGCCCCAGCUUCUGCUGCUAGCCAAGCACCAAGUAAUGGGCGCUCGUACUGGAUCCGAUCCAUCGAAUGACGGAAGCUAUGAACCAGUACUUGACCGAGUGAUUCCCCUGACGGAACGGAAUUAGACUGAAAUGCGGAACUACUCCUUCCAAUGGCUUGCCUCGUGACCCCAACGGAUGGAAGGGAGUACGAGCCGGCAAAGAACCUAUUUGAUCCAAGGACCGGAACAAGGAACUCAGAAGCAUCUAUUUCUCCCCUAGCGGCAUCCUAGCAGAGGACAGCAAAUCCACAUCCCUCUGGGCAAGCAGCUGGUAGCAGUGACCCAAUAUCUGCGAACUCCCGUCUGCAGAACCAUCUGUACCACCAGGUGCUACUCCUCUUCGCCAUAUCUAUUUCCAUCUCCGAAUCGAUCCGUUCCCGAUCCUAGCCAUCUAGUGGCUGGCCAUACGAGCAAGGAAAGAAGGAAGGUGAACCCAGGUCGGUCGAUGUUAUUCCGUAAGAUAAGAUCAAUGGUGAUUCCCCCUGCCCGGUGCUAGGCGAUCAAAAGCUCCAUUCGAGAGACCAGUCAGCUCCCAAUCAACUCGAUCUUUGUCUUCAAAACCGGGAUUCUUAUUCCUCCCCCUGAAACCCUGUUUAAACCUCCCAGAAGCCCCUGAUUCCUGUCUAAAACACGAGAGAACCUUGCCUUGUGGGUAAACCUUCGGCCAGGCCUCACUCUAGUUAGGCCUCUUCUAGGGGAUCGUAUCUAGUAGAGUAAGAAGACGAUUCUUGAUGACUAUUAUAUUAUUAAUUCCACGUGCAAAACCGUGUAUUCUCCCGGUGCUUUCCUUUCGGGUUGGACCAAGAUAUUCUUCCCCACGGGAUUUAAUUUGUUCCAGUCAAUAAGGGGCAUACCUUCAGUGUGCUUCUAGUUCUAGAAGGAAUUCUUAACCCCUCGAUUGAAGACGAGAGGCAGUCCUGUUCUAAGGUCGGCCCGCUCUUAUCCUACUCCUACUCCUCCUACUUCUUCUCCUUCAUCGUCGUUGGUCCUUCUCAAAGAUUCUCUGAUCAACCAGCGCCUAGAAGUCACCCUCCCGCCUACCUUACUACUUUCCUUACUGAACUGCCCUCCUGACUUCAGAUUCAAAGAUAAAAUUUCCCCGCCUGAAAGAAAGGAUGGAAUUCCUGAUCCGCUUAAACAACGGAAAAGCUUUCAAACAAAUCAAGAGUGCGGGCGGAAAGGAUUGAAAGAGCUUGCUUGAAAACCAUAGAUAGGCGCCUACCUGAAACUCGCCUACCCGAAACGGAAAGAGGUUUUUUCUCUCUGAAGCAUUUUUUCUUUCUUUUCUUAUUUGAACAGGAAAGAACUUAAACAAGGAAUGAGCGAAAAGACCUUUCUUAAAGAGUACUGUUGCUUUCUCAUAACUAAAAAGCAAAAAAACCGAUAUUCAGAAAUGUAGCUCUGUUGCUGACCUUAAAAGCUUACCGAACUAGCCUAGCGGUUUUAUUCUCUACGACCUCACUUUCCUCAUUUGUAUGAUCGUGCACCACAACACAUACUUCACUCGCUGCGGUAGCGCUCAGUGUCGGUCGUGUACCCGGUGUGGGCGUCUCCUUCCCCACCUACCUUGCCAUCAAAGUCGCAAUGAGAAGUGUCCGUGAGAUGAUGAACCUUCCUCCUCAAAGCUAGACCCAGCUAAGCUAAUUCGCUUUAGAGUGCCUCUAUCUAGCUCUGAUAGCGAGCGUCGUUCGUCAUCUCGUAAAUGACUUUCAUCAAUCAAGCCCUCUUUUUCCUAUGUUCUUUUCCCCGCUCUAGCCCUGCCUGCUUCGGAAUCGGAAAAUGUCUUGCUGGCGAACUAGAAAGAGUUACCUUCUACUGGAACCCCAAAACUACGAUUUCUGCGCUCUCAACAUGCAUUUGAGCAAGCUUCCGAUCAGCCUCGUAGCCGUCUAGCUCUUUCUUCCCUCUCCUGUUACCUUUCCUGCGUUCAUUAAGACAGGUCGAUUGCAUUUGCUGUUUUGAAUGCUUCAAUCGCUACUGAAAAAGCCUGAAUGGGAAUCAUACUGAGGCUUCAACGUGAAAAAUAACGCAUUGAAAUAGCCUUUGAAAGACGUUCACCUCGUGCUUCUUUCGAGGGAAGCACUAGCUUAGCGCACAGCUCUCCUGUAGCUUAUUGCUGAACUGAAUUGCACUCGGUCUACACCCUAACCCUUCCGAGAAUUCAAUGUCUUUGAGUUGGUGGUAAGUGAGUAGAGCCCCUAAGUAACUCAUUUAAGUAGAUGAACCACGCAGCCAGGCAUCACCUGACUGAAGAAAAAAGACAGGGUAUCGGAGGACCAGUCAACCUCGUAGCAAGGAAGACUCACUGAUGAUUUAGAUGGAGGGCGGAAUAAGGCACGCAGAAUAGUACGGAGUCGGAGAUCAUAAGACUCAAAUCUUUUAUUAGACAGUCCUAUAGCCCGGGGCAUGAACCAUACAUAGGAUUUAAUAGGGACGGGGUUCCAGUGAGCCCCAAGAAGGCAGGCACCAACCGAAGAGCAUAGCAUCGGAGACAGGAACUUCGCUCCAAAGAACGCUUUUGAGCGAUAGCACAAACUGAGCUAGAUGUGUCGUCGACCACAGAAGUGGGCCACGCUUAGCCAAUUCACCCGGUGCUUGGGACAAGGCUCAUAGUUUGUCUCAUAUCUAGCCCUUCGUCUGCACGUUUCACUCAUGCUGAACACCUACUCAAUCAAAAUUGAAUUCGGAGACUUCGGAAUGGUAUCGAAGACCAGAAUCAAGCUCGAUAGGUUCAGGUAAGGAGGGUUUCAGGAUUUCCGCGAAAAAGGCAUAGGAAUCCGUUCCCUGCCAGCCUCCGUUUUGUUUGACUUGGGAGGGGACCCAGCCCUCUAACGUUGCGUGAGGGGUGCAACGGUCUCAUGGGGCGGAUUUCUUAGAGAAUGAUGUUAAGUAGCCCUACAACCAUCGGCAUACCCUGGCCCGUCAGGCUGCUUCUAACACCUUAUCGCGUCAAUUGAAGUCCACCUUAUUUAAGAUGAGGCCCUUCGAUCGAUCGGUUCAACCGGAUCAGGGUCUGACCUCUCGAUCUUCGGGGAAUUAGGGAAGAUCCCCCUCUUUAUCACGAACCGACGGACAAACGGAAGUCGUAAAUAGGAGUUUGGGCAAUAUGCUUCGCAGGCUAGUUGUAGAAAAGCCCAAGCAGUGGGAUUUGAUCCUUCCACAUGCAGAAUUUGCGUAUAACAGGAGCAAGAGUCGCACAACACAGAUGAGUCCAUUUGACAUUUUGUAUGGGGCCAAUCCAAACAGCGUCCUAGAUUUGGUUCCUAUACCAAACUCAGGCAAGAUUAAUGGGGAUGUAAAGGAGCUAACACGUCACAUUCAAUCCAUUCAUGAACAGGUUCACCAAAGGAUUGAAGCUAGCAAUGCUAAGUAUAAAGAAGCUGCUGAUAGACAUCGACGACCAUUUAGCGGGUUCCCUAUUAUUUUAGUCUUGGUCGAGCCAUUCCGGCUACAGGACCGAAAAUAGCCAGAUUGGAAUCCCAAAGCACUUUCCAAUAACUGAACCUCAACCGAGCUGCGGAAUCCAACACUUAAAGCCUAGUGCCCUUCUCAAGUAGUAGUUCCGGCUUUACGUAAUAGGGACAUCCCCAGUCUUAUAUAUGGGCCCUUCUUUCAGAAAAUGUACUUGAUCCGAACAACUCAACUACUAGUCUAGUAUGGUAGUUUUUUCCAUAUGCAUAUACAAGGGCUGGUCUUUCUUCGAACUGAGCAAAUAAAUAUAGAUUCGAUCUGCUCUCACUAACAAGAGUGUCUUUCGCUUUAUAGGAAAACACCCACUUAACUAGCUUUAUAACCAGAUGCCAAAACAUUCCGUGUGGUGAGAGGCGAGCGAAGUGAGGACGACUGUCAAGAGAGAAAGGAACGAAGGAGACGAGAAGCAACACGAAGCCCAGUUCGGACCCGAAGUCGAUCUUUGACUUCAGAACCAAUGGAGGGUUUAGCAGCUGAAAGCAUGUCUGCAGACUUGGAACAGAUGAAAGAACAAAUGAGAGAACUAAUGAACAUGGUAACUACCAUGAUGUCUGCACAGAUUACUGAAAAUCCGGCACAGACCCAGCAACCGCAGCAGGCAAUACCAUCGCAAUCAAUACCUGUUGGGCCUGGGGCUUCCCAGGUGACUGGUACUACCACGGAAAUACCCAAGCUGUAACUUUACAACGAGAGGGCCUUUUGUCUUUUUACAUGGGCUUCGCCCUGAGCGCUGGAGUUUUCUGUCUUUCUUACCUGCUUAGGAAAACUUCUAUCUGUCGUCUACGAGGCUUCACACCCUAAUUCAUCUGCGCCGGAUAGGGUUUUUAUCUAAGCCUGUACCCGGGUCUUGAUGAGCCUGCGUAGUAUUAGGUAGUUGGUCAGGUAAAGGCUGACCAAGCCAAUGAUGCUUAGCUGGUCUUUUCGGGUUCUAUCUUGUUUAUUUGGUAUGGCUCCUUCAUCGUACAAAGAUCCUCCUGCAACCCAACCCACAUAUAGCACACACUGGAUUCUCGGCCAUACCCUUGACCCAUCUAAGUUGAUUAGUUAGGAAAAACUCCUCUCUGCUUUUUUUUUAGUUUGCUAUGGGGCAUGUGAGCAACAUAAUCGCCUAUUAAAGAGCCAGCACACCUCGUCAGCAUAUUUGUUUCGGGAUUCCCAGUUUCUUAUUCAGUUGACCUUACAGCUUCAGUGCUAGUAGUUCAGAAUCCAGUUUACCUGAACGUGGUGACGAAUCCAUCCAAACCAAAAAUAGGAAAAUGGGGAUAGGGGCGAAUAGGAAACAAAAACUAUAGUGGCUAGGUAGCAUCAUCUAGAAAGCGGCAACAAGGCGAGCAGUUGAAUCCGUUUAUUCAGCUUAUCCAACACCUCGCUAGAAGCCUUCCCAUAUCGGAUUGAGCUUUAUUGAGUAGUUGCACGAAGGGGCACUGGAAUGGUAUGGGUGCCGUCCCAAAGAAAGCCCUAUGAAUCUCCAUUCUGGCUCCAAGGUUGCCGCCUUCCUGUGCUUCGAGCUCUUGAAGUCAUGCUUCAGGCUCACUAGUAGAGAUCUGAGAAUAGGGGCAUCUCGGGAUAGCCUAAACCUACCUGUCUAUUCUAUAUAGAAUAUCUAUUCUUAAUUUAUAUAAUAUAUAAUAAAAUAAAAUAUAGCAGACUGCUUUCACUGGCCUUAUUAAACUACCAGCACAGGAAGGGAAGAAAGAAAGAGAGAAAGGCAUACGGUAAGCACUUGAGUUCAAGCAUGCCGAUAGGGUGGUUCAAGUUCCGCGGCUAGGGGAGACUUACUGAGAAAGACGGUAAGCAGCAAGCAUAAUGAAGUAUAGAACGUCAUACGUUCAGACCUAAAGUGGUUAAGAUAGGCGGCAAGCCAAGCUGUUCGGUGAGUUAGAAAGGUUUUAGGCUACACCGUUCAGUGAGUUAGAGAGAGUACUACUAGGUGGUAAGAAAGAGUUAGGCUGGCAACGGCCCCAAGAGCCGAGGUAGGUUGAUUAGCCACUGGCAAGAGAAGCUUAGGCUAUAGAAAUGGGUGGGAGACCUUUAGAUAGACCAUAAUACUAGGUGGUAAGGCUAGCAAGCAAGAGGUGGGGAAGCAUAAGAAAACUACCCGGAUUAGGCCUCUAGUAUAGCCAUUUGAUUGAUGGGGCUGAACCGAGUAAACAAAAGUCACGAUUGAAUAAGAAGUUCCCUGGUGUGAUUUUGUUCAUACCGGAGUGUUGGUUCAAGUCCAGCUCGUGACGGAGAGUAGCAAUCUCUUUUUCUUAAAGCAAACUAGCUGACUAGGCCUUCAGUCAAUAUAGCAAGUUCAAGAUGGGGAAACCAGUUGACUGUCUCUUGGUCAAGCGUACGAUCCGAGCAAGGUACUUUCUUAUUUAUUUCUUCGCUUGGAGCAACCCUUUUUGGUUGCCAUGGAUUCAUAAAUGGGUAGACGCAACCUGUUUGUCUUUUGUACGCCCUGCCCUUAUAGAAAAUAGUAGUAUUACGCUCUUCUUUCUGCCAGAGAGAUCGACUUGAAAGAUCCAACCCCCAAAGUGCUCAUUGAGUUGAGUAUCUCUUGAGAUCCGGGUGCGCGAGUACAGGAUAUCCUAACAUGUGAACACCUGUGAACGUCCUUAUGUCAUGCCAGAGGGGAAGACGGCUCUAAGCUUUUGCGAUAGUCAUCCCCAUGGUGAGUUGCCGGCUCACACGGGUCCUUCACCCCCAAAAUAAUAACAAUCGGUUCAUGAGCUGGGCUUCAAGCUACAAGACCCAAACAAUUCAGUCAGUGGGAAAGUCAGCAUGCGAGGAAGAUGUAUAAUAGGAAUGAUGGAACCGAGCAGAGAGAACCCGGGGCGGGCAGGAGGAUACGCUAUCGAAAGAACGCCUACCUAAGAAUCGAACUAGAAUGAAGAAGUAAGUAAAGAAGAUAGGAGCUGGUGGUGCAUUUCCCGCGGAAGCAAUUGUAGCAGCUCCGGCACCCUGAACGGAGCAACUAAGUCAAACAAAGGCCCUCGGAAGAGCCUGAAGUAGAGAAACCUCAAAAGUAAGUUAUCGACCUCUACCUUUACUCCUCUACUCUCGCAUGGGAGAUGAACCCAAUUAGUCUGGGGUUCCAGUUGUCAGUUAGAAAAAAGAAGGGAAAAGACCUCUCAUUGUGGUUUGACUUCUGAAGAGAAAGAGCCACUUUUUCUCCUCCAAUUGUUCUGUUGGAUGAUAAUUGGAUUGAGGAUGAAAAUCGUCUAAUUCGAAAUAUCAAAAAAUGAUGACUGAAAGCUCUAGCCGAGUAGCAGCUUCUUAUGUGGAAAGGUACAUAUUCCGAAAUCAAAGCCAGGACCCGAGGUUGGAGCUUUUCCUAAUGAGUGUCCCUCGGCCGCCCGAUAUGCGGGACAAACCUGAACCCGUCGAUUUGCUCGAAGUUCUUUCCUGUUCAAUUUCAUAAUAAAGACGCAAAGACGAAGACGCAGCUGCAAGAUCUAUCUUCUCGUUUUUGUCUUCUAUUAACUUCCAGUCAAAAAUAGGAUAGGGCUAAUAGGUAAUCCUUAUUUUCUUUUGCUUUUGGCUAAACUGCUGGCCGUAAAGCCCUCAUUGGCUAAGCAAAAUAAAGCAGGUAAAGUCUAGAGAACAAUUGGAAAUUGCGAGUCUUCUAAUUCUCAUUCAGAACCUAGUUGACUAGAUGUUAAACAAUCACCAUGACUAAAACUAAGAUCUCUACUUUUUUGCCAUAUAUACUUUUAAGACUCAGUCACGCGGAGGGCAGACCAACCGCAAAUCCUGAGUGGGUGAGGGACCGGCUUAGGGAACUCUUUGACUGCCGGGCCAUUCUUGUUGCGAAGGAAAGCAAUUCCGAAAGCGGCUACAACCUUCACGCGGGCAUCCUUAACCGGGAUGCCUCAAAAAACACAGCCCUGAAAAGAAUAAGGCGGGUCUUCCCUGAAUGGGAGGGGCGCACGUUGGAUGUUCAAUUCCAUAUAAAUUAGGCGUCCAUUUGUGGGUUCCUUUUCAAGCUGGACGGACAACCCCUUGUGUGGGGGGAAUACUCCUCGGAAUAAAGACUUUCGAUUGCCGCCGGGGCUAGUCAAAAGAACAAAAAGGCUACGACUAGAACCCCAGCGGGGCAACUCCAAAUCAUGGAGGCGAAUCCCCCCGAGCAACUCCAAAUCAUGGGGACGACUCCCCCUGAGAGAAUCAUAAGAAAGCUCGAAAGAUGUAACCAUUGGUACGAAAUCUAUGACGAUCCGGUCUUAAGGAAGCUUGCCGUGAAGUCCUAUGAGAACAUUCGGAAUCUAUACGAGGAUCUGCAGGCUCUUUCAAAUUCGCGGGCGACGCUAGGAGAGCGCUUUCUUUCUUAUUUACACAGACAGGGUCAACCAGCUGAAUACGAGCUCGAAGAGCUCCCAGAGAGGUAUCUAAUGCUUGACUGGUAGGCUUCUUGCCUCUGCUUUCAUCGGCUGCUACUACCCCGGACCUUCAGCGUCCCAUUUUCCGCAAAUACAUUGAUUUAUUCAUUGCGCACAAUCGGACGCUAACCUUGAACUGACCCUUCAACUGACUAGGAGUGGCUCUACUGUUAAGGAGAUAAACGGAAUUAGAGUUACCGCUUUCAUUUCGGAAUGUGGGACGACAAUAGAGGUUCCCGCUUUCAGAGUUUAGGUACAGGCCCAUAGAUAGGAUUCCGGUUCAUUUGAUUCGCGCUUGAUUACAAGAAGCUCAAAAGAUAAGGCCAAGGAAACAGGCGAAACUCAACUAUAAAGGGGAACAGUGGCCACUCGACCGACUAUCAUGAACGAAGUGAGGGAAGGAGUUCGGAUUGGAUCCCUUAGGAGAGAGACGGAAGGUAUUAAGAAAUGGAAUCAGGUCUUUGACGAUCCAGUAUUAGCUAGCAAGUGUAUGGACUCAUACUUUGAUGACUCCCUAGUGGCCAGGGAAGCGUUAGCUUCACCCUUGGAACGUAUCAUCUACUCUCUCUAGCUCUCGACUUGACUAGAACAUUUCUUUAGCUGUUUCGCCUAGUUGGGUCGGGCAUCAAGAACCGGAAUUGAUAUCACAUAUGCCCUUCUCUUUGGUCCAUAGCUAGCAACUCACCGUACCAAGCGCGGCAGCCUCACCCCCUCGGGAACGGAAUCCUACCCUUUUGAUAUGUCAGCCAAACCGCCCAGAUGGGACGAGACUAGUCCGGUCAACAGAUACUAUAUGAUACCUCGUAUUCAGUACUCUCAGUACUCCCAGACCAGGGCUAGUAACUUUGGAUCCCCAUAAGUACGACAAUCUCUCCUUCACUCGGCAGGGCACGGGCAUCCGCCUUAAUAAAGUACGUUUCCGUUUUCAAGAAGAUUGAUUGAAGCAGGCAACGAAGGGGACGAAGUAGCAGCAGCUUUAUACGAUAUUGGGCAGAUUGCCAAGACCCCUUUUAUAACGUAGUUGGGGAUUCGGCCUGGUUCCAUAGAGGGAAGAAUGGCAGGGGCCCUGUCGUACGAAGGGGACUGAGAGUGCACUUUGCGAAGCUUCUUUUAGAUAAAAAAGAAGCGGGAUUGCGGAGCUGUGAAGCGGCAAAGCCGACUAUAGAUACACCCCACUUGCGCUUUUAGCUUAGGUUUCUUAGUUAGGAACUUGCCUUUUAGUUAGGCGCCUGGCCGAAGGUUGAAAGAAUGAUUCGGGGUCAGAGGAAGGGGGCAGCAUUCAACCUUUCCUCUAUCUAUGAUUGGGAAUUCCUCCAGUGAGUAGAAGUCCCCGGAAAGGUAGAUGGGAUAAAGGAUAAAGGUCUCACUCUGCCAAACCAAAGAUUCGGGAUUACCCUUUCAUCGAUUACCUAUCCUAUUUAGUUCCAGACGCAGCCUAAAAGGUAAGAAAUGGAUGGAAGAGAAUCCGGAUCAACCAAGUAUCGUACGCCCAACCCAAAGAAGAUAAAUUUGUGAUAGCUGAACUCACUGAACCCCUGAAGGAGAUCUGUUUUAAAAAAAUCGCUAAAUGGGAACCAUUCGGAUAUUUGGUUUAGCUGGCCGAUCUUAUCAACCCCGUCAUAGGUGAGCCUCUAUAAGGAGGUUCGGUUCCUUAGGUCUUUGUACAAGCCAAUAGAUGGAGUGCAGGUGGUCACGCUUCACUUACCUCGAAGAGCUUUUCAGCAAGACCUUUUCACCAUAUAGAUUGAGGCUGAGGCCUCUUGUCAAAAGCCUAGUCUUGUUACACGCCUGGCGAGCGUUGCUCUUUAUGGUCGGGCGAGCUAGCCUAUUUAUAUUAUAUAGACUUCCAUUCCGAACCUAACUUCGCUGGAUUCUGAACUCAUCCAGCUUGUAGAUCCCCUUCGAACAACCCACUUUGACAACUUGAAGAAUACAGCGAUCCCUUAGAAGCGAUUGAGCGUACAGAUCAAUUCGUCACUAGAGUCACCUCCAACGGUAAUUUAUCCCAACCAUAAACUGAAGCCCUUCAUUUUUAUUGAAGGACAAAGCAGGUCCACUACCGCAUCAGGAGCAAUAGCACGGCAUGAGAGAGACUUCCUGCAGCCCAAGUAAAAAAAAAUAUAAAAAUUACCCGCUCAAUCAGAUAGGACGACCUACUCCUUAGUUGAACCAGACUUUGCCACUCACCUUCAUCCGAAUAAGG
rnacentral:rRNA from 1 species